CAAUAGCGUAUAUUAAAGUUGUUGCAGUUAAAAAGCUCGUAGUUGGAUUUCUGGUUGAAGCGACCGGUCGGGCGUUGAUUCGUCUGCACUGGAGUCGGUUUUGGCCAUCCUCUAGGAAAGUGCGUCUGGUAUUAAGUUAUCGGGCGUAUGAUCCUGGUCUUUUACUGUGAAAAAAUUAGAGUGUUUAAAGCAGGCCUUCGCCUUGAAUACAUUAGCAUGGAAUAAUAAGAUAGGACUUUGGUCUAUUUUGUUGGUUUGCAGACCGAAGUAAUGAUUAAUAGGGAUAGUUGGGGGUAUUUAUAUUCCGAUGUCAGAGGUGAAAUUCUUAGAUUUUCGGAAGAUAGACUUAUGCGAAAGCAUUUACCAAGGAUGUUUUCAUUAA
rnacentral:rRNA from 1 species